ensembl:miRNA
AGCGGCGCCGGCCUAGUCCGCGCGAGAGCGGCUGCUGGGGCCGAGGCCCGGAGGACUGGCCUUGGAGCAUCUUCUGGCCCUUCGCUGGCUCCUCGAGCUCGGGCUCCUCUCUGCAGUGGGCGUUGGAAGUCUGCA